CCAUUACAAGGAGGCUGAAGAGCCGCAUGUGGCUCCAGAGCCGCGGGGUUGCCGACCCCUGCUUUAAAGUAAAGCGCAAAUACCGAGGUCGCUAUACAGUAUCUGGAUAUGGCACUUGGUGCCACUGCUUUGCUGCUCUCCUGCAUAUGGAAAAAUCAUCUCAGAUAAAGGUACACUGGGAUCACUGAAUGAAAAGAUUCUCUUCUCAGUUUGAGCGGCCAGCAGACUGAACUAUAUAAUGCCCAGGACGAGUUUGCACCACCACCAUCUACUCAAAGCACCAUGAUGUUCCAACAUUGAUGGAUUAAAAGCCAGAAGUCUGCAUGACCAUCAU